GACGAACGCUGGCGGCGUGCUUAACACAUGCAAGUCGAGCGGUAAGGCCCUUUCGGGGGUACACGAGCGGCGAACGGGUGAGUAACACGUGGGUGACCUGCCCUCAGCUCUGGGAUAAGCCUGGGAAACCGGGUCUAAUACCGGAUAUGACUCCAUGACGCAUGUUGUGGGGUGGAAAGCCUUGUGCGGCUGAGGAUGGGCCCGCGGCCUAUCAGCUUGUUGGUGGGGGAUGGCCUACCAAGGCGACGACGGGUAGCCGGCCUGAGAGGGCGACCGGCCACACUGGGACUGAGACACGGCCCAGACUCCUACGGGAGGCAGCAGUGGGGAAUCUUGCGCAAUGGGCGAAAGCCUGACGCAGCGACGCCGCGUGA
rnacentral:rRNA from 1 species